AUCACAAACUCAAUUCUCCAAUCACAUGUAAACAAAAAUUCAAAACCCCUUUCUUCAGAUUCUCAACGUUCAUUCUCACUUUCCCCAUCUCAUUCUCAACACAAAUUCUCACAUUCACCAUCUCAUUCUCAACACAGAUUCUCACUUUCACCAUCUCAUUGUCAACACAAAGCUCUCCUUCGAGGUUUUCCGCCGAAAUCGGACCCAGCAACUCCCCCCAUCGCAAGAAACGUAAGCGGCGAGCAUCCAAGAAGAAGAAGAAACCUCUCGAUCCCGUUGAUUCCGUCGAUGAUUCAUGCGAUUCAUAUCAGAAGAAUGAAUUGCCGAUUGUAAAUGGACGAGCAUGUAACGUUUUUGGGAUUGGCGGAAUGAGGUAUUGCGGUAAUGGAGGAAGCUAUUGA